rnacentral:lncRNA from 1 species
AGCCAGUGUCCAACACUUAUCCUGAGGAGGAGGCCACAUUGCCUGCAAAGAGGUGGAUGUCUUCUGAAUGCCAAGUGCUGAGCUGCCCGGGACACUCAUCAUUAUCAGUCAUUGCACCAUCUACCGGCUGGAAGAACAUCAAGGCGGGUACUUGGGAGCACGUACUUGAGAGCUUAUUAAAACGACCUGCAAUAAAGUCUCUUGCUAUAGG